CCGUCACUUAGAAAAACAUUCAGAGCUACCCAAUGAAAACAAAGAACAAAGACAGACAUUUUCUCCCAUUAGACUUAAAGGAGUGGAUCUCCCUAUCUUCUCUGGCGAAGAAAAAAGUGACUAUGAAUCCUGGAAGGCAGCAUUCCUGUCUGUUGUCGAUCGUCGUGAUAUUCCUGUCGGAGAAAAAAUGCUUAGACUACAAGGCUGUUUGUCGGGUAAAGCUUUAACCAUGGUGAAAGAUCUUGGGUAUUCCCUUAAUGCGUAUGAAAGAGCGAAGGCUAAAUUGGAGAAGAAGUACGGAGGGGAG